ACGGAGGAUGCAAGCGUUAUCCGGAUUUAUUGGGUUUAAAGGGUGCGCAGGCGGAAUGAUAAGUGAGUGGUGAAAGCUUUCGGCUUAACCGGAAAAUUGCCAUUGAUACUAUUGUUCUUGAGUACAGUUGAGGAAGGCGGAAUGUGUCAUGUAGCGGUGAAAUGAUUAGAUAUGACGCGGAACACCGAUGGCGAAGGCAACUUUCUGGAUUGUAACUGAUACUCAGGCACGAAAGCGUGGGGAGCAAACAG
rnacentral:rRNA from 1 species